rnacentral:rRNA from 1 species
UACGUAGGGUGCGAGCGUUAAUCGGAAUUACUGGGCGUAAAGCGUGCGCAGGCGGUUCGGAAAGAAAGAUGUGAAAUCCCAGAGCUUAACUUUGGAACUGCAUUUUUAACUCCCGGGCUAGAGUGUGUCAGAGGGGGGUAGGAAUUCCACGUGUAGCAGUGAAAUGCGUAGAGAUGUGGAGGAAUACCGAUGGCGAAGGCAGCCCCCUGGGACAACACUGACGCUCAGGCACGAAAGCGUGGGGAGCAAACAGGG